CUACGGGAGGCAGCAGUCGAGAAUCAUUCACAAUGGACGAAAGUCUGAUGAUGCGACGCCGUGUGAGCGAUGAAGGCCUUCGGGUUGUAAAGCUCUUUCGCAAGGGAACAAGAGAGGCAAGUGAAUAACUUGCUGAUUUGAGGGUACUUUGUAAAGAAGCACCGGCUAACUCCGUGCCAGCAGCUGCGGUAAUACGGAGGGUGCUAGCAUUAAUCGGAAUUAUUGGGCGUAAAGGGCGCGUAGGCUGUUUGGGAAGUCAGAUGUGAAAUUUCAGAGCUCACCUCUGAAGCUGCAUUUGAAACUCCCAGACUAGAGGAUAGGCGGAGAAAACGGAAUUCCACAUGUAGCGGUGAAAUGCGUAGAGAUGUGGAAGAACACCUGUGGCGAAAGCGGUUUUCUAGCUUAUUCCUGACGCUGAGGCGCGAGAGCAAGGGGAGCAAACAGGAUUAGAUACCCGAGUAGUCC
rnacentral:rRNA from 1 species